AUUGAACGCUGGCGGCAUGCCUUACACAUGCAAGUCGAACGGUAACGGGUCCUUCGGGAUGCCGACGAGUGGCGAACGGGUGAGUAAUAUAUCGGAACGUGCCCAGUAGUGGGGGAUAACUGCUCGAAAGAGCAGCUAAUACCGCAUACGACCUGAGGGUGAAAGGGGGGGAUCGCAAGACCUCUCGCUAUUGGAGCGGCCGAUAUCAGAUUAGCUAGUUGGUGGGGUAAAGGCCUACCAAGGCAACGAUCUGUAGUUGGUCUGAGAGGACGACCAGCCACACUGGGACUGAGACACGGCCCAGACUCCUACGGGAGGCAGCAGUGGGGAAUUUUGGACAAUGGGCGCAAGCCUGAUCCAGCAAUGCCGCGUGCAGGAAGAAGGCCUUCGGGUUGUAAACUGCUUUUGUCAGGGAAGAAAUCUUCUGGGCUAAUACCCCGGGAGGAUGACGGUACCUGAAGAAUAAGCACCGGCUAACUACGUGCCAGCCGCCGCCGUAAGAC
rnacentral:rRNA from 1 species